GACGAACGCUGGCGGCGUGCUUAACACAUGCAAGUCGAGCGGUAAGGCCUCUUCGGGGGUACACGAGCGGCGAACGGGUGAGUAACACGUGGGUGACCUGCCCUCAGCUCUGGGAUAAGCCUGGGAAACUGGGUCUAAUACCGGAUAUGACCUUUCCUCGCAUGGGGUUUGGUGGAAAGUUUUUUCGGCUGGGGAUGGGCCCGCGGCCUAUCAGCUUGUUGGUGGGGUGAUGGCCUACCAAGGCGACGACGGGUAGCCUGCCUGAGAGGGCGACCGGCCAAGCUUGGGCAGAGACGCGGCGCGGACACCUACGGGAGGCGGAGGUCGGGAAUCAUGCGCAAUGGGCGGGAGCUUGACCCCUCGACGCACCGUGGGCGAUGACGGCGAUCGCGUCGCAAUCCUCUGUCGAACCUGCCGACUUUAGACGGUACAGGAAGAAGAGACAGCGGAGCUCUACGUG
rnacentral:rRNA from 1 species